CAACCUCAACUCAUAUGGGACUACCCCCUGAAUUUAAGCAUAUUAAUUAGGGGAGGAAAAGAAACUAACAAGGAUUUUCUUAGUAGCGGCGAGCGAAAAGAAAACAGUUCAGCACUAAGUCACUUUGUCUAUAUGGCAAAUGUGAGAUGCAGUGUAUGGAGCGUCAAUAUUCUAGUAUGAGAAAUUAAUGAUUUAAGUCCUUCUUAAAUGAGGCCAUUUACCCAUAGAGGGUGCCAGGCCCGUAUAACGUUAAUGAUUGCUAGAUGAUGUUUCCAAAGAGUCGUGUUGCUUGAUAGUGCAGCACUAAGUGGGUGGUAAACUCCAUCUAAAACUAAAUAUAACCAUGAGACCGAUAGUAAACAAGUACCGUGAGGGAAAGUUGAAAAGAACUCUGAAUAGAGAGUUAAACAGUACGUGAAACUGCUUAGAGGUUAAGCCCGAUGAACCUGAAUAUCCGUUAUGGAAAAUUCAUCAUUAAAAUUGUAAUAUUUAAAUAAUAUUAUUAAGAAUAAUGUGAAUUUUUUCCAUAUAAGGACAUUGUAAUCUAUUAGCAUAUCCCAAAUUUAUCAUAAAAUAUAACUUAUAGUUUAUUCCAAUUAAAUUGCUUGCAUUUUAACACAGAAUAAAUGUUAUUAAUUUGAUAAAGUGCUGAUAGAUUUAUAUUAUUACAGAGCGUUAAUUUUUCGGAAUUAUAUAAUGGCAUAAUUAUCAUUGAUUUUUGUGUUUAUUAUAUGCUCUUGUAUGAUUAACAAUGCGAAAGAUUCAGGAUACCUUCGGGACCCGUCUUGAAACACGGACCAAGGAGUCUAACAUAUGUGCAAGUUAUUGGGAUGUAAACCUAAUAGCGUAACUACUGACUAAUAUGGAUAGUUUUUUAGCUAUUUAUAGCUAAUUACACAAUUCACGGGGGCGUUCUAUA
rnacentral:ncRNA from 1 species